UCCCACAUGUUACAGACCCGACAAGUGGAUUUCACAACACUCGCCAUUUAAUCAGAAUGGUAAACCAGACAUUAAAACCAGGGGUAAAACUAAUAACAAUAGUAAGCAGUAAACAAAUACACAAUAUAUAUUGUGUGUAUAAAAGAUGGGCCUACUCAAUGUCUUCUGGGGUAGAGGAAAAUAGAAUGAGCAAAAUCAUGUAUUUGUUGAAAAUAUUUGACAAAGAAAUUUGUUCACAGUUUAGCAGAGUGCGUUUCCUCUGCAUUAUUCACACAUAAUUGCUGAUGCAGGCAUCUGUGAUGAAUGUUCUCUCAUUGGCUUGUCUGUGCAGUCUGCACACACCAACAGCUAGAGCACUUGCAUAGAACUGAGCACCUUUCUUCAGCUCGUGACUACAAGCUACCUACCACAACCCAUAUAGUCUAUGACCAAGAUCAUCUUCUGAAGCCAACCCAUGUUGUGACUCAUCUUCAGCGCGCUGUCCUAUGUGGCUGACAGCAUAGCUUCCUGCUGCUGCCCCUCAGGAAAGAUCAAAUCAGCUACAGGAUGACAAUACCAGCUCAGGGGGGAGGAUGUGUGGACAGUCUUCAAAGGAGCACCAUCCAGUGAAAACCCUCCAGCCAAUAAGAUUCUCCCUUAGAUGGCUAUUUUAGAUAGGGACUAGGGGUAGGGUUUUAGUACUUUGAAAAUGCAUCCUUCCUUCAAGAUUUCACUGAUUAGUACAGAAUUAGAUAGUUCUGCAUAUGGCUAGCCGGUACUUUUCCUCUGUGCUUGGGAUAAUGACGACUUGUCUGUAAACUCCUUGUUUGGGAGGUGGAUAUAUCUGACAACACCCAAGUACAGAAGGUAACCAGCAGAGUUGAGUGUGGCUGAACUGCAACCUAUUUUGCUUUCAUUAUAUUUAGUCAAAUCUAUGACAAACGUAUUGAACAAGGUUAUAUGUAAUUAAGAAAAUGUUACUUGAUGGAGCAUAUUUCAGACUUGAUUGUAGCUUUUUUACCAGGAUCAUUUACCCUGGUAAAAAAU